rnacentral:rRNA from 1 species
AUGGGGAUCCACCUCCUGGCCUUCGCCUUCGUGCAGGUGUUCCAGGCCUCGGCGCCGCUGCUGUGGCCGCUCAACCUCUGGCUGCCCCGCCACCUCCCCCAGCUCUGCGCCGUCGUCUCCGCCGAGGUCGCCGCCCACGUCGCCUGGCUGCGCCGCGCCCACGCGAGGCGCCGCGACGACGACGACGAGGCCCGCCGCCAGGGGCUGCUCUACACCGUGUACUGA